GUAGGGGGCUAGCGUUGUCCGGAUUUAUUGGGCGUAAAGAGCGUGUAGGCGGUCAGGUAGGUCGGUUGUGAAAACUGGAGGCUCAACCUUCAGAGGUCGACCGAAACCCCCUGGCUAGAGUCCGGGAGAGGAGAGUGGAAUUCCUGGUGUAGCGGUGAAAUGCGCAGAUAUCAGGAAGAACACCCGUGGCGAAAGCGGCUCUCUGGAACGGUACUGACGCUGAGACGCGAAAGCGUGGGGAGCGAACAGGAUUAGAUACCCUGGUAGUCCACGCCGUAAACGAUGGGCGCUAGGUGUGGGAGGUGUCGACUCCUUCCGUGCCGAAGCUAACGCAUUAAGCGCCCCGCCUGGGGAGUACGGCCGCAAGGCUAAA
rnacentral:rRNA from 1 species